rnacentral:rRNA from 1 species
GACGAACGCUGGCGGCGUGCUUAACACAUGCAAGUCGAACGGAAAGGCCCUGCUUUUGUGGGGUGCUCGAGUGGCGAACGGGUGAGUAACACGUGAGCAACCUGCCCUUGACUUUGGGAUAACUUCAGGAAACUGGGGCUAAUACCGGAUAGGAGCUCCUGCUGCAUGGUGGGGGUUGGAAAGUUUCGGCGGUUGGGGAUGGACUCGCGGCUUAUCAGCUUGUUGGUGGGGUAGUGGCUUACCAAGGCUUUGACGGGUAGCCGGCCUGAGCGGGUGACCGGCCACAUUGGGACUGAGAUACGGCCCAGACUCCUACGGGAGGCAGCAGUGGGGAAUAUUGCACAAUGGGCGGAAGCCUGAUGCAGCAACGCCGCGUGCGGGAUGACGGCCCUCGGGUUGUAAACCGCUUUCGCCUGUGACGAAGCGUGAGUGACGGUAAUGGGUAAAGAAGCACCGGCUAACUACGUG